AAUAAUUUUGUUGUAAGAACUUCAUUUUAUUAGUGAAUACAGUUUAAUACACAUUUUUUUAUACAAAGAAUACACAUUUUCUAUGAAAAUAUCUGGCAUCUCUGGUCCUGUCUGUAAGUCUGUGAUCAAAUUAUCCGCAGAUGUGUCUCAAUCGCUUAUAGUAGCCAAUUUCUUGAAAAAUGCACAAGGGCGAAACUUCAUUCGACGACACGACCUGCCACUCGUCUACCAAAACUGUAUCGCAAAUUUAACUACCCCUCAGUAACUGGUAAUGUCAAAACGAAAUUGAUGGAAACAAUUUUGAAACUGGCAACACAAGUUGAUAAAUUAUUGAUUUUAAAUAACAGUUACCAUAACCUUGGUUACUGCUUAGUGAAGACUUGAGAAUUGUAAACAAAACAAAUGGGAAAACGGGUAUUUCUAAGUAAAAAUUAAAAUUCCUCGAGUGAAUAAUCUCUUUGUGCAGAAUGUCCAACUGAUCUAGAAAUUAUCGGAUAUACUAUCCUGCAAAAUCGUUUUGUUUUGAUUGGUCACUAUAAAUAUCGUUCUCCCCCAGAUAGUUUAAUAAAUACAAUGUACAAUGUUACAAAUUAACGUUCGUGCACCGAGUCGUAUACGAACUUUGACUUCACCGGAUAUUUCAGCGAAGCGCUAUCGAUUAGGGUUGUGUUGCAGCAAGGUAAUGACGUCA